rnacentral:tRNA from 1 species
AGCGGGGUAGUUUAAAGGUAGAAUGCCGGACUCAUAAUCCGAAGAUCCUGGUUCGACUCCAGGCCACCGCUACCA